rnacentral:rRNA from 1 species
UAUGCCUACGGGGGGCAGCAGUGGGGGAUAUUGCACAAUGGGGGCAACCCUGAUGCAGCGACGCCGCGUGAGCGAUGGAGUACUUCGGUAUGUAAAGCUCUGUCAGCAGGGAAGAGAAUGACGGUACCUGACCAAGAAGCCCCGGCUAAAUACGUGCCAGCAGCCGCGGUAAUACGUAUGGUGCAAGCGUUAUCCGGAUUUACUGGGUGUAAAGGGAGCGCAGGCGGCACGGCAAGCCUGAUGUGAAAGCCCGCGGCCCAACCGCGGGACUGCAUUGGGAACUACCGGGCUGGAGUGCCGGAGAG